UCAGAUUCAUGAAGUUUUACUCAACUUCCAGGGCAUACCAAGUUGUGCUCAACAAGUCGGCGCCCGCGAGUGUGGCUAUUACGUUAUGAAGUUCAUGCAUGAAAUAGUCACGUUACACCAUAACUCUGAUGAGCGGUUAGAUAAUGCUUACACUCCAAGAAAUGCGCCUUAUACCGAUGAGGAAAUAGAUGUGGUUCGUGAGCAAUGGGCUAAGUUUUUUACAACCGAGUAUUUAUUUACUUAGGUUGUUUAGACACAAAGAUGGAAGCGUUUAUAUCUUCAUGGAUUUGGUAAAGUUCUUUAAUUUUUCCAUAAUUACAAGUCUGCUGGAUUUGCUAAUUUAUUGCUUUGAAUACUAAUCUGCUGGUCUUGCU